rnacentral:rRNA from 1 species
CUACGGGACGCUGCAGUGGGGAAUAUAGGACAAUGGGGGCAACCCUGAUCCAGCCAUGCCGCGUGAAUGAAGAAGGCCUUCGGGUUGUAAAGUUCUUUUAAUAGUGAAGAUAAUGACGGUAGCUAUAGAAAAAGUACCGGCUAACUCCGUGCCAGCAGCCGCGGUAAUACGGAGGGUACGAGCGUUGUUCGGAUUUACUGGGCGUAAAGGGUGCGUAGGCGGAUAUUAAGGUCAGAUGUGAAAGCCCAGGGCUCAACCCUGGAACUGCAUUUGAAACCGGAUAUCUAGAGUGUGAUAGAGGAUGAUGGAAUUUCUAGUGUAGCAGUGAAAUGCGUAGAUAUUAGAAGGAACACCAGAGGCGAAGGCGAUCAUCUGGGUCACAACUGACGCUGAGGCACGAAAGUGUGGGUAGCAAACAGGAUUAGAUACCCUUGUAGUC